UUCGGGUGCACAAACUGGCGAUCAGGUGCCAUUCCAUUCCCCUUUUGUUCUAACCAAAAAAAUGAAGUGAAAUUUUGGACAUUAAUAAACAUAUUUGCAGUCCUGCUUUUCUCAGAUCUACAUCGCCAUUGUAGUAGCUUCAACUGAGAGAGAACAAGUGAUUUUCUCUCUCCUCCAUUUUCAGCCUCCUUCAAACUUCUGCAAAAUCUCCAAUUUUGUUCUCUCACUUCUCAAAGAUCCGCAGCUCAAUCAUGUCCAAGAUCACGCAAUCAAUGUCGUCGAAUUUCUAGGGUUUCUGCAAUUCGAUCGAAAUCACAGUAGACGAACACUGAGAAGAGAGAAAAAGAAUCGAUCAAUUGAUAAUGGAGUCACGACCUUCCCUUUCGGGAAGGUUCAAUCACGAAGCAGCAACAACGAGUACUUCAUCAUCAUCAUCUUCACCAUCAAGAGAGAAUAGUAUCUCAAGAACAAGCUCAAAUUCAUCUCUUUCAAGUAAGGCGAUUUUCGAGCACAAUCUCUCUUCAAUUCUCAAUAAUCCUCACUCUUCUCGCUCUAGCGACGCUUCAUCGUGGCUUGGGUGGUGGUCUUCGCCGACGUCGGUGAUUUUGCCCGAAUUCGCCCCGAUUAAUGCCUCCAAACCUGAAUUAGAUUCUAAUAAAUCUGAUUUUCAACCGUAUUUGAAUUCGAUCUCGGAGCAUUAUGCUCGAUUUGAGGAUAUUCGUAAUCACAGUAGUAAAGAGAAUUUGGAUAUUGUUGAUAAUAUUGGAGGACAAGGAGAAGCGUUGGUUGCUUGUUUGAGAGAGGUGCCUGCAUUGUACUUUAAGGAGGAUUUUGAGCUUGAGGAUGGGGGAACGUUUCGGGCCGCCUGCCCAUUCUCGACAAUGAAUGAGAAUUUGGUGCUGCAGGAGAGAUUGUCGCAGUAUUUGGAUGUGGUGGAGAUGCAUUUGGUGAAGGAGAUCUCGUUGCGGUCAAAUUCGUUCUUUGAGGCUCAGCAGCAGCUGGGGGAUUUGAAUGUGAAGAUUGUUGAAGGGUGUAAGAGGAUUAGGGAACUGAAGGAGACUAUUAGGCUGUUGGAGGCUGAUGUUGUUGGGUCGGCGAGGCAGAUUCAAGAGUUUAGUUCAAUGAGGGGCAACUUGUUAGCGCUGCAACAAAAACUUAGGCUCAUAUUAUAUGUUGAUCAAGCUCUUGGUGCUCUUAAACUGCUUGUUGCAUCUGCUGAUUGUGCUGGAGCAUUGGAUGUUGCUGAUGAUUUGCGGCAAUUACUGGAUGGAGAUGAGUUGACAGGUUUGCACUGCUUUCGUCAUCUGCGGGACCAUGUUGCUGUAUCAAUGGACUCCAUAUUCAGCAUUCUUUCAUCAGAAUUUAUGCGUGCCUCUUUGCAUGAUGCCGGGGAUUUGGAUGCUAUAAUUGUAUCGACAGCAAAGGAAAGAGCUUCUGUACCCAGUAACGGAAGACUUGAUGAUGUUAAGCUAGAUGAAGAAGAAACAUCUAAUUUCCGAGAUCUUGUUUUACCGAUUAUAAUUGGACUGCUUAGAACGGCAAAACUACCAUCUGUCCUGAGAAUGUAUCGUGAUACACUUACUGCUGAUAUGAAAACAGCAAUUAAGAAUGCUGUAGCAGAGCUGCUACCAGUUCUGGUUGCUCGAUCUCUGGAAUCGGAUUUCUCGACUGGAGAGAAGACUGGUGAUGCAGAUGGUGGAGGCUCGUCCCUUGCAAGCAGAUUAAGGAGCCUGACAUCUGAAAGCUUUGUUGAACUUUUAGCUGCUGUUUUCAAGAUUGUCCUGGCACAUUUAGUUCGAGCAGCUGAAGUAAAAAAGUCAAUUGAGUGGAUUAUGACUAAUUUGGACGGUCACUAUGCAUCUGAGUCUGUUGCUGCUGCUAUUGCACAUGGUGCUGCAGCUUCAGAGGCUGCGCAAGAUAGUGACAAUCAAAUUCAAGUCAAUAAUGCAAUUGCUUAUUCUUCCCAAAGAAAUUCUAACAAGGUUCCGCCACUGCAAGGGAAGGCAACUGAACUAACAAGUCCUUCUAACGUAUCCAAAAAUUUCAGAGCUGAUGUGUUGCGAGAAAAUGCUGAAGCUGUCUUUGCAGCUUGUGAUGCUGCCCACGGAAGGUGGGCGAAGCUCCUAGGGGUUCGUGCUGUUCUUCAUCCCAAAUUACGGUUGCCGGAAUUUCUUAGUAUAUACAGCAUCACCCAAGAUUUUAUUAAUGCUACAGAGAAGAUUGGUGGAAGGUUGGGCUAUAGCAUAAGGGGUACACUGCAAUCACAAGCAAAAGCCUUUGUUGAUUUUCAGCAUGAGUCCCGUGUGGCAAAAAUCAAGGCCGUGUUGGAUCAAGAAACAUGGUCUGAAGUUGAUGUUCCUGAUGAGUUUCAGGCAAUUGUUGCUUCAAUGUUUACUUCAGACCCUUUGACUCCCGAGACCUUUGGUGAUGAUCAGGGUAGUUCAAUAGUGUCAAAUAACGGUGUGUCAACCGUGGCUGGCCAUAGCAAAGAAUCCAAUGCUGAGCAGCAUGUAGAGCAAACUGAUUCGAACAAUGUAUCCGAUGAUGUUUCCACUCAAGAGAAAUCUCAACAUUUAGGCGAGGCAAGUGAUGCAAGUAAAGCUGAUGUUGUUACUUCUUCAGCCCUCACCAAAAAUAACAAUACAAAGGACCGCGUGAAGUCAACUUCUCAAACAUUAAUGUACAGGGGUGUUGGAUAUCACAUGGUUAAUUGUGGCUUGAUUUUGAUGAAGAUGUUGUCAGAGUAUAUUGAUAUGAAUGAUAGUUUACCGUCAUUAUCAUCAGAAGUAGUUCACCGUGUUGUAGAAAUUUUGAAGUUCUUUAAUACAAGGACUUGCCAGCUGGUUCUUGGCGCUGGCGCCAUGCAGGUGUCUGGUUUGAAGUCGAUCACUUCCAAACAUUUGGCAUUGGCAAGUCAAGUCAUCAGUUUCACAUACGCUAUUAUUCCUGAUGUCAAGCAGAUUCUUUUCCUCAAUGUACCUGAGACCAGAAAGCCACUGUUACAAUCAGAGAUCGACCGGGUAGCACAGGACUACAAAGUUCACCGGGAUGAAAUACAUACGAAGCUGGUUCAGAUAAUGAGAGAGAGGCUGUUGGUUCAUUUGCGAGGGUUGCCUCAAAUUGUUGACAGUUGGAAUAAACCUGAUGAUGGUGACACACAACCUAGUCAGUUUGCAAAAUCAUUAACAAAGGAAGUUGGCUAUCUUCAACGUGUCUUAUCUCGGAUGCUUCAUGAGGCGGAUGUUCAAGCGAUUUUCAGGCAAGUGGUCAUAAUAUUUCAUUCACAAAUCUCAGAAGCAUUUUCACGCUUGGAGAUCAGUACUCCACAAGCAAAAUCGAGACUUCACCUGGACGUCCAACAUAUUCUUGGGUGUAUACGUUCACUUCCUACUGAUAUUGCUAGCAAGUCCGGUGUUGCAAAUUGGGGGCACCUUGAUGAAUUUUUGGCCCAAAGGUUUGAUAGCGAAGGUGGUUCAUAGACUUGCUUUUGUACGUAAUUUUCUCUUCUCCGCCGAAGGCAUUGUUGCAGAAUGUAAAAUCUAAUGUUCAGCCUAUGCUACCAUCUUCUGCAUUUGAAUCUAGCUUUAGAAAGGUAAAUGAGGUACGAUUCUUUUGGUUCUUAAUUUUCAAGGAGAUUUCCCAACCAAGAUUUUUUUGUAUACUAGAUACGACAAACCCGGUCAGUAGCAUGCUUUCGAAACAGUUCCCCAAAUUUGAUUUAGUAGAUGCAGGGAACAAAUGAGAGAAUAGUGUAAUGUUUUCUGUGUCUCCACUCUCCAUACCCCUCUUCUUUUUGUUUUCCUUCUCAGUUUUGGUUGCUUUUUUUCGGCGACCAUGUUCAUAUGAGGUGGUUGUACACUUGUAUGAGUAUUGACGGCGUUGCAUAUAUGUUUCACAAUUCUUAAUAGAAGGGAAAUUCUUUUCUUA